CCCUCCCUUGAUGCCUACGCCAGGACCACACUUCCCCCCCUCUCUUCCCACCAGCUACCAUAAUUUCUCGAAGAAUGAUCCAGACCCUGGCAUGAGGAUGGCCAGAAGCCCUUGUUUAAAAUACUCUGACAGUGAUAUAAACCAGAUGCAAAGACACUGGUCCUGGGGACUGAAGUGAGAGCACACAGAAACUGCCCUGGUGCCCACAGACAGCAGGCAUGUCCUGUCUCCUGAUCUCAAGUGUCUGAAAAGUUACCUGCCAGAGAGAAACACCAGGUCACAGAGCACAGCCAGGCACACCGGUCAUCUCAGCAGGAGGAUCAGGAGUUCAAGGCCAUCUUUAACUACACAUCCAGUUUGAGACCAGCCUGCUGAGCCAUCUCUCCAGUCCAUAAAAGCAUGUCUCAAAAAAGAGAGGGGGUUGGAGACAGCUCAGUGGUGAAGAACACUUGCUUUCUCUGAGGCUCUGUGUUCUGUUUACGGCACUCAUAAGUGCUUCACAUCUGUGACUUCAGUCCCAGAGGAUCCAACCACUCUCUGGCUUCCUUGGGCACUGCUCAUGCAUACAGUGUACAUGUACAUUCAGGCCAACACUUGAACACAUAAGAUUAAAUAAAUACAUCUUAAAAUUUUUUAAACACAAAACUUUUUUAAAAGAAAUAAAGAAAAGAAAGCAAAAGAGAAAACAAAUUGCUCUCCCUCCUAAAACUAACUUAAAGGUUAAUGGAUGGAAUGAGUUGAGGCCCUUCAAUUUCAAAUUUGUGAAUUAUCUGACUCACAAUUCCUUCUUACAGGUGGACUUUCUUCCCUGUCCCAGUUGGUGAAGUCACUUAAACUUUUCCUGACCAUAAGUAAUAAGCAAAUUCUUCACUACUCUUUCUCUCUGGCUUAGAGCGACAGACUGCUUGCCUCUGCAUCCCAGAGCCUAACACAGGCUUCUAGGCAUGUGGAGACAUUUGUGACCUGGAUGAAAGACAAAUGGAUGAAUGAGUGAGUGAAUGAAUGAAUGAGUGAAUGAAUGAAUGAAUGAAUGAUUAAAAAAUGCUCUUUCCACUAAAUGUUUCCAUCCCUCUUUCACGGCUUAGGGCAUCAGAGCUGGAGAGAUAGCUUAACGGGCUGGAGAUGGUUAAGAGAACUUGUCAUUCUUGCAGAGGACCAGGGUUUGGUCCCUAGCACCCACAGCUGGCAUCUCACAACCAUUUGUAUCUCCAAUUCCAGGUAUCUGAUACCCUUUCCUGGACUCCAUGGGCACAGACAUGCAUGCAGGC